rnacentral:lncRNA from 1 species
AUGGAGAAGUGCAGGGACCUACGUCGCUGCCCCGGCUGUCACUCUGCAAAGGUUGAGGCCUGUGCCCUGGGGAAAGGCCGACGGAGCACCGCGGCGCAGGCUCCGUCCGGGACCCCCGGCUCCCUCGCUCGCUCCCGCAAAGUUGCGAGUUCCGGGGCGGGGCCGGCUGCUCUGUCCGACCCGGCGCGGCGGCCGGGGGCCCGGAAGGCGGGGGCCGGGGGUCGGCAGCGCCGGUCGCCGCGGUCACUCGCGCCCGCAGCGCGGGGCCGGUCCCCGCGGCAGCCAUUUUGGGCCCUCACGGCGGGGGCUGCGGUCACGCGGCGGCGGGCGCGGCGGGCGCGGCGGCGGGGGGCGGGGGCACGAGCCCCCUCCCGGCCCGGGCAGGGCAGGGCGCGCUGCACCGGCCGGGCUCGGGGCCCUCCGCCGCAGGCCGGGAUGCUGCAGGCGGGGGCUGCCCGGCGCGGGCGACCAGGGGUCCCCGGGAUGCGGCGGACCCCGCCCGAGAGCCGCCGGCACAGGGUCCCCGCGGGCGCGCGUGCCCGCCGCCCCCCCCCCCCUCCGCGGGCUCCCCGCGCGCUCGCCACCCGGCCCGGCGCCCGCGACUCACCGCUCCCGCCGCUCCCCGCCGCUCCCCGCCGCUCCCGCCGCCGCCGGAAGGCUCCUCCCGCCGGAGCGGCCCCGCGCGCGCCCUCGGAGCGCGCCCCCGUGCGGAGCGCGGCGGCCGCGUGGAGCCCCGGGCCCGCCCCCGAGUCGCGGCGCCCUCAGCCCCCCCCCGCCCCGCCCCCCCCCCGCCCCCCGCAGCCCCGCCCCGCCCCGCGGGCCCUCCCGGCUCAGGCCGCGCCCGCGCUUCCCCCGCGGGUUCCCCGACGCGACUGCGCCUUGCUCCACCGUUUCUUUCUUGCCGGGCCCUUGCAGAGAGCCCGCGGCCGCUCCUUCGCUCGCUCACUUGUGCAUUUAGACCCGUGUUUCCCAAAGUGUGCCGUCUGGCCCCGUGGGGCCACGACACAAUUUUAG